AGGGGGUGGAGUGGAGUAGGGUGCAGUGCAGUGGAGUCCUGCUGCUGGUGGGUGCUUCUUCUAUUCUUCAGCAUUGAGAGCAACAAUUGAUGCAUUCAUUUGAUGCCAUUUGCGUGCGGGCUCUAUUCCUCCUCCGCCUUCUCUUCUGUUCACUUCUCCUCCAAUUCAAUUUCCAUCAUCCUGAUGUAUGUGUGGAUUUUGGAGAAAAAGUAUUAUUUUGUAAGCUUUUUUUUGGUGGGAACACCAAGGGGGUGUAGCUCAAAUGGAAGAGCGUGGUGAGUGGGCGGGGCUCCAUGAAAUCCAGAGCCGCACCCUAGUGAUCCAAAAUUAUCGAAAUAAAUGAUUUUUGACGUUUUGAGAGCGCACUAGAUUUCUACAAUCAUGGAAACAUUGCAACACUCUAGGAGAUUGCAACGCAACCACUUGCAAGCAUAUCUGGCAACAAAAACACAGAUCCAAAUUCUAUGAUACAACCAAAAUAUCGAGCGAGUACGUAUCUGAUCGAGUUAAAGCAGUUUAAGAAUCUCUAGUUCCAAAAUCAACAGAAUCCAAUGUAAAUAACCAUUGCGCAAUAGUAGAAUGGAGUGGAAAUCAAACAAUGAAUGUCGCAAGGCCAGGUGUAGUGGCACAACAAGAGAGCCAACAUAUAGUUUACUCAACAAGACAUCAAUUUUGGUGUCGACAAUCACAAGACGUGGGAGUCGGGCAGUGUCAGUGAAGGACCUAUAUAAAGAACCAACUCAAUAUACAACCUCAUAGAUAAGCCCCCUAUUUCUAGACUUAAUUCCAAAAACUUAAAUGAUUGACAGCUUUACAAUGUUCCAAAGGAAGCUUUGAGGUUUGGCCCUUCUACCAAAAGGAGAGCCUUAAUCAAGCUACUUUAGUAUGAGGAUGAAGUAUUACUUAUGGACACCAAGGAUACAAAUACAAUAGGAUCAAAUGAGACCAUUAACUUUGGAAACACUGAAAUUGUAUCACCCCUUUUUAUUAAACAACAAACUUUCAAUUCUUAUCCGAAUGAAGAAGAACCUAGUUCAAUACUACACAUAGGUACUAAGAACACACUUGAGACUGGACCAACAAAGAACACUAAUUACAUGGUUAUUAGGACCACAUUAUUCCCUCUCUCUCUCUCUCCC
rnacentral:lncRNA from 1 species